rnacentral:rRNA from 1 species
UAGGGAAUUUUCCACAAUGGGGGCAACCCUGAUGGAGCAACGCCGCGUGCAGGAUGAAGGCUUUCGGGUCGUAAACUGCUUUUCUUUGAGACGAUUAUGACGGUAACAGAGGAAUAAGGGUCUGCUAACUACGUGCCAGCAGCCGCGGUCAUACGUAGGACCCAAGCGUUAUCCGGAUUUACUGGGCGUAAAGAGUUGCGUAGGUGGCAGAGUAAGUAAAUAGUGAAAGCUUGGGGCUCAACCCCUCAAACAUUGUUUAAACUGCUCAGCUAGAGGAUGAGAGAGGUCACUGGAAUUCCUAGUGUAGGAGUGAAAUCCGUAGAUAUUAGGAGGAACACCGAUGGCGUAGGCAGGUGACUGGCUCAUUCCUGACACUGAGGCACGAAAGCGUGGGGAGCGAACGGGAUUAGAUACCCCGGUAGUCC